UUAAACUGACUGUCCGGGGCUGGAUGUAGUAAAACCACAUAUGGUACUGGUGCCGGAGAAAGCCCAGCCCACUAAAAAGGAAUCUCCAUAAUAUCGAAGGAAAACGAGAGACCUUCCUUCACAUUAUCAAAGUGAUAUACCUACACUAGCUGGUGAGCAGACUGGAUCUUUGCUGUAUUCAGAAUGAUACGGCCAAUAGAGGUGGAGACUUUGGCGCCAACAGCACUGAAUGAAAAUGGUUUGGCAAUGAUGGUGGAGAAGGUCCGGUUAUCGAUAAGCCGGGACAUAAAUGGAGCUGACCUGUUGUUUAGCCUGCUCAAAGCCCCCUGGCUACAGUCACUGUUGAAGGUAUAUACGUGUCUGCAACAGUACCUGACAAGGAGCCCCACACCUUUCCUACCUUCUGCAUCUGCACUCUCACAAGAGGUUAUCUCUGACCUCAGAACAGCUUCCCCCUUUCCUGAAGUGAAAGAACUCCACAGACUGCUGAGAAACCCACACAUGCAGGCGUUGCUUUUUGCUCAUGAUAUGGUGGCACAGAAGGACUAUGAACCAAUCCUGCUGCCCCUGCCUGACAACCUAUCGGAUGAGGAGGAGGCGAUGAGGAUCAUGUGCCUGGUGAAGAACAAACAGACGCUAAAAAACUUCAGUGGCAUUAAGAAGAGGUUGGAUGACCUGAAGAGAAGGACCAAAGAGAAGCUGGCCAGAAAGCCAGCAGGAAGGAGCAGCAGAGAGGCUGCGUUCUUCUCCGUCCCGACCAUGAGCUCCCGAAGACAGGCAGCCGGACUGGGGGAGGAUGGGAUGAACCUGUCAGCCCCUUCUCUUCACACCUCUGUGUUGAUGGAUUACAUAGCUGCAGAAAGUGCCAGCAACACAGAGGCAGGACCUUUCUCCAGUCAACCCAGAGAGAAACUGGAAAUUUUGAGCUUGCGUUCCCUUGAAGUUCCAGCCUCCUCCUCCACACGGUUCUUUCAGAACACUGUCCCAACUGAGUUGCCUUACAUUAGCCGGCGCCCUCAGACGGUCCCUUCCAGGCCUCUGCUCUAUUCAAAGCGGGAUACAAAGCUGCUGGGGACUCACCGGACGCAGGCGCUAUCAGACCAGGAGAGCCUUGAAGAGCUCAGGUCCACCAUGAAGUCUGUGGCCAGCACCGUGGACAAAACCUCGCGUGACGUCCAGCUGCUUGGAGAGAUGGUCGUGGCUGCCACCGAGUUGAUGUCAGAGACCAUGCAGGAGAACACCCAGACCUUGAACCUGUUGAUGAACGUGUUAGAGAGGAUACAGGGCCUCCUUUUGUCUCCGAAAUCGCCUCAGUCUGCACGCUCCGACCUGUCUGCUAGGUCUGCCGCCGGUUCUUUCAGCGAGUUCAUGGAAGGGGUCUCGUGUCACCCACCAACGGCACUUCCCUCCUCAUUGGAGGACCGGCCUGAGCAAUGCUGCUUGGCAGUGGCUGGGACCACUCCUCCCAAUGGAACGCAGAGGUCUGGUGCAGAGCAGAGGAGGGCUGGCUUAUUAGUAAAAAAAAAGAAAAUAUUAGUUCUUGGCUGCUAGUUUUUCUUCCACAGGCAGACAGAAUCAUCAGCCUUCUCUAUUCAAAAAGGUGGGCGUUGAUCAGUGUGAUGGGCAGUUUUUUGGGUUUUUUUUUACUGUACAGUGCUUCCUCAUUUUUUCACUGUUUUAUCUUGAAGUGAAUUAGAUAAGGGCCCUUAUUCAGCACAGUGCAUAUACAAUUUACUUUCAACAUGGCCCAACCAACAUUUUACCAAAUUGGUGAUUUUCUUCGAAUUGUGGAAAAAAAGAGGAAGCACUAUCUAUUGCCUUUAUUUUUUAAUUUGGGAGCCUAUUCAAUCCUUGGUCCAUCCCAUAAUAUCACAGUGAAAUCUUUCCCUUGAGUGUGUGGUACAGUAUGUGUAUCCAAAUAGCCUUGUCUCCAUGAUUUCUCAAAUAUGCAGAGUCCUCCUGAAUCAUUUCUUAACAGCUUUUGAAAGGGUACAAUCUAGUAACAUGUAAAGCCUUAGAAAACAGCACUGAGUUUUAUAAUACUACAGUUUAAAGUGGAAAACGUAAACAUGCAAAAUAAUUGCCUUUGCUGUUUAACUUUUUUAAUGCCACUGUGAGUAGAAAGCUACUCCUGUAUAUGUCCUGCGGUGCCACAGUAGUAGUUAUUGUAGAGGCAAACACUUGAGGGUUUGUGGCGGUGACCAGGGAGCUGCCCUUGGUAUGAUCAGCUUUUGCAUGUUUAUCAUGCUUUAUCUGGCAGAGUCUGACCUACUUUUGCAGGCCUACUGCAUAGCUAAGAAUGCACCACAUACCUUUAUACCGGUAUAUUAGUAUAACACCACAAGAGGGCAACGUGGAGUUUCUAGCUUCUGUCCUCAAAUGGUGAGCUUGUAUUCAGCACCAAAAAUGCAGCUGUUUCUGUAACACUGGCAUAUGUGACCAUUUUACAUAUUACUGGUAAGCCAAUUCAUUUCUAGGAUGGCAUUCCACGUGCACAAAGUUUUAUAGUGUCGGACAAGGAAGUCCCCCAGGUUUUAAACAGAUUAUUAAAUAAUUAACUGGUUACAUUUGUUCAUUUAAGUAAUUUAGGGGACCGGAAUUAUUGAGUAGUGAAAUGGAGCAAAAGAUUCGUUUAUCACAAGCAUGGCCUCAUUAUUGUACAUCAUUUGAAGAUAUUUUAAAACACAAAUUAAACACUGCUUAAUAUUUUUUUUAUUUAUUAUUAUUAUGAGUAAAUAUGCAUUCACAGCAUAAGUUGUCAAUUAAAGUCUACAGUUUGUGGGAUCCCAUUCAUGUUAAUGGAUGGAAAUAUCAAGGAUAAAAAACACAAUGAGGGUCACUUGUUAUUUAUUGCAAAAGAGCAAAUCACAACCAUCCUGACCUGGGCAGAUGCAUUUGUAGUCCAUUUUACCCUUCUCAGAAUGCAUAUAAGUCAUUCUAAAUAUGUUGGAAUCCCUAUAUAGAGGUGCCUCAAAUUGUGUCUAUGUAUGUGCAAUGUGCAUUAGGGGUGUGUGUUCAAAAACUUUUUAGAAUCAAAUGUAAAGAAUAACAUCACAAUAUUCAUCACAUCCCUAAUAUGCAUUCAAAUGUUUUCCCUUUUUGCUGCGAUGAUCCCUGACUAUGCAUUGCAAUAUCAGUCAAAGUAUACUGUUAACCUGAUCACACUGUGCAGUAACUAAGUUACAUGCUGUGGCAUAUGUGCCUCAAUGAAGAUUUUAUUUUUGCCAAGUUUUACAGCAGAGGAGGAGGGAUCAAAAUACAAAUCAGAAUAUCUACGUGUUCAACAAUCCAACACUACUGUGGUGCCUUUGCUAUUUUGACACUAUAUUUUACAUUGUAAUAUCUAUGUGCAGUCUUCACUGAAAGCUUUGUAAGGAUCUCAAUUUUAGAGCAAUCAUAACUGUCAACGGCUUUGCACUGAUAAGUUCCUGCAAUCAGAGCCCAACUAUAAGUCACAUGACUACCAAAAUGUGGCCAGAUGAUUAUUUAGCUGACAAACCCUCUUCAUUGACUUUUCAGAACUGUCAGCAGCCAUUGUUGUUACAAUUUCUAAUGUUGGUUGAGUGGUUGGAUACACACAUACGAUAGAUAAUGAAAGUAGAAGCACCGUACAGUCUCUGUUAGAAACAGAUACCAGCUCAGACUAACACCUGUCCUGCCCUGCAACCCUUUUCCCUUAUCACCUUAUCACCUGUAAUUGGACCAUCCAAGGCUCUCAUUUCCUGCGAUAUUGCAAUUUGGCCAGAUUCUUGUGUCCUUUUCAACAACUUUAAGCUUCAUGGCUGUCCACUUGUUUCUGUUUGGACAUAGUGAUGGCUAAGAAUUCUGCCUCCAUAUGGAUGAGAAAAAAAAGGCUUGGAGAACUGUGAGUAAAAGGGUGCUACAAUAAAGAGGAAUGAGAUAGCUGGAUAGAUCGUGGUUGCCCGGGUGAUACAUGGAGGCCUAGCGGAUCGCAGUGGGCUGCUGUACGCCGGUGAUAAGCUGGUGGAGGUGAAUGGAAUUGCUGUGCACGGGCUGGAACCUGAAUAGGUCAUUCAGGUUCUGGAUGAAGACUUCCAGGAGAUGGAGGAGAACACAAAGAAGAUGGAAGCCCAGUACAGACCGUUUUUUGACCAUGUGAUAGUGAACGAGAAUCUCCAGGACUCGUGUGCAGCUACUCAGCACAGUGAGGAGAGCUCAAGAUGAGCCCCAGUGGGUUCCAGCUACCUGGCUGAGGCUGGCCGCCCAGUCCUAGCAGCACCGGAGCGCCACAACACAGCCAGGAGACAGCAGGCAACCACGCUCUGUACAACAGCUUGAAUAUUAUUAUUAUUAUUAUUUAUUUCUUAGCAGACACCCUUAUCCAGGGCGACUUACAAUCAUAAGCAAAUACAUUUCAAGUGUUACAAUACAAGUAAUACAAUAAGAGCGAGAUAAAUACAAUAACUUUUGUUCAAGCAAAGUACAAGUGUGACAAACCACAAUUCAAUAAUACAGCAGAUAAUAGUGAUAGUUACAUCAGGAUAUGAUUAAAUACAAAAUACUACAGGUUAAACACUUGGCAGAUUACAGUAUUCUGAAGUACAGGAUUAAAUGCAGUAAAAUAGGGGGCAGAUAAGAGCAAAUAAAGCACAUUUAAAUGAAGGGUGAUCGUAUCCCAGGAUAAAAACAGAGGAGUUCUACAGGUGCUGUUUGAAGAGGUGAGUCUUAAGGAGGUGCCGGAAUGUGGUCAGGGACUGGGCAGUCCUGACAUCUGUGGAAAGGUCAUUCCACCACUGCGGAGCAAGGGUGGAGAAGGAGCGGGCUCUGGAGGCAGGGGAGCAUAGCGGAGGUAGAGCCAGUCUUCUAGUGCAGGCGGAGCGGAGAGGUCGAGUGGGGGUGUAGGGAGAGAUGAGGGUCUGGAGGUAGCUGGGUGCAGUCUGGUCAAGGCAUCUGUAGGCUAGUACAAGAGUCUUGAACUGGAUGCGAGCGGUGAUCGGGAGCCAGUGGAGUGAGCGGGGUAGUGGAGUAGAGUGGGAGAAGCGAGGCAGAGAGAACACCAGGCGGGCAGCCGAGUUCUGGAUGAGCUGGAGCGGACGGGUGGCGGACUCAGGGAGGCCAGCCAGGAGGGAGUUGCAGUAGUCUAGGCGGGAGAGUACCAAGGCCUGGACCAGGAGCUGGGUAGCGUAGUUGGUGAGGAAGGGUCGGAUUCUUUGGAAUAGAACUGUCUCAAGCUGAGAGAUGUACGCAUGUUCAGGGCUGUGCAAGCAAAGUGUGUGCUCAUGUAAUCUGACGAGGCUGCACAGUAAAUCUUUCUUUUUUUUUGAGUAACACCAGAAGAUCAUUAAUGGGACAUUACUUUUUUGUGGUUUAAUGUGGGCCAGUUUGCACCAUGAAAAAAUAAAUACAUGUUUGGGUCCCUAAAUUGAAAUUAACCUUAUGAUAUGUGUUUGCUACUAGUUUUGUAACACUGGGGACUAUUUUAAGGAUCUAAACAGUGGCAAAUCUAUUAGUGUGAUUUACUGGCCCACCUAUUAACAUUACUACACACAAUAAAAUGGAUUAUGAAGUAUUAUGAUCUGCCACAGUUGAGAUUUUCCUUUGUCUUGAAGCCCUUGAUAAACCUUUCCCUCUAUGUUAGCCAGAUGCUUACACAGAAGACUGUGUUGGGAUGUCAUUGCGUAUGCUGGGACGUCACUGAGUGUUAAACGUUUGUGAGAAAAGGAAUAUAAAACCUUUUUUAUCAUAUUUAUAAGCUGGGUGUAAUAUAUUAAAUUGUUACAUUAACACGUGUUUCUUUGUGUGCUGGGUUUUUAAUACUGAUACUGCAUUUUAAUUUGUUUUUCACUUGUUUACUCUGGUCCUUCAGCACACAACUCUGCAAUAAUAAAACUUGUAUUAGCAAC